rnacentral:rRNA from 1 species
CACGUAGGGCGCGAGCGUUGUCCGGAAUUAUUGGGCGUAAAGAGCUCGUAGGCGGCCUGUUGCGUCCGCUGUGAAAGCCCCGGGGCUUAACCCCGGGUCGGCAGUGGAUACGGGCAGGCUAGAGGUAGGUAGGGGAGAAUGGAAUUCCCGGUGUAGCGGUGAAAUGCGCAGAUAUCGGGAGGAACGACCGGUGGCGAAGGCGGUUCUCUGGGCCUUACCUGACGCUGAGGAGCGAAAGCGUGGGGAGCGAACAGG